CCUACGGGGUGCAGCAGUGGGGGAUAUUGCACAAUGGGGGAAACCCUGAUGCAGCGACGCCGCGUGUGGGAAGACGGUCUUCUGGAUUGUAAACCACUGUCCCCCGGGACGAAAAUGACGGUACCUGGGGAGGAAGCUCCGGCUAACUACGUGCCAGCAGCCGCGGUAAUACGUAGGGAGCAAGCGUUGUUCGGAAUUACUGGGUGUAAAGGGAGCGUAGGCGGGGAGGCAAGUUGGGUGUCAAAACUACCGGCUCAACCGAUCGUCGCACCCAAAACUGCAGCUCUUGAGUGAAGUAGAGGCAGGCGGAAUUCCUAGUGUAGCAGUGAAAUGCAUAGAUAUCACGAGGAACUCCGAUUGCGAAGGCAGCGUACCGGCGCCCAACUGACGCUGAAGCACGAAGGCGUGGGUAUCGAACAGGAUUAGAUACCCGAGUAGUC
rnacentral:rRNA from 1 species